rnacentral:rRNA from 1 species
UUUUAGUGAUAAGUAGUCCCUCCGCUCCAUUUUACAACACCGCCGUCGCUGUCCGGGACUGAGCUGUUUCGAGAAGAGUGGAGACUGCUGUAUUGGGGCUUUCGGGCUCUGGUAUGAUGGAAACCAUUUUAAUCGCAAUGGCUUGAACCCGGGCAAAAGUCGUAACAAGGUAUCUGUAGGUGAACCUGCAGAUGGAUCAUCGCCGAAACUUUAUGGGUAAUGCUUUGAUCACGAGAGAUCGGUACCAAUGGAAUCAGGCUUGUUCUUGAUUUCAAUCGGUUUCUCACCCCAUCUAAGCUCAUGGAGAGGUGUCUAGUCCCAAUUGGAGUCGCUUUGAGUGACGGCUAUGAAAAUUGGGUAUGUUCCCCGUGAGGGUCGAGCAUAGACUUUAUGAACAGUGCUGGAGCUGUCGCCUCACCAAAAAAUCAUCGAUAACUGGUGGCUAUGUGUGACAUUAGUCACAUAGGUAUCUGCUGAUGCAGAGAGCCUUAAUGAGUUGUUCGUGUCAUCUGACCUACAACCGCCAGUAUCGGUAAAUCAACCCAAUUAACUUGUUUCUUGUGUCGUGUUAAUACAUACUGGCAAAGUGUAUUAGCUUUAGCGAUGGAUCGGUUGAUUCGCGUAUCGAUGAAAAACGCAGCAAGCUGCGUUAUUUACCACGAAUUGCAGACGCUUAGAGUGGUGAAGUUUUGAACGCACAGCGCCGUUGGGUUUUCCCUUCGGCACGUCUGGCUCAGGGUUGUUUAAUAAGCGAAAGUGUUGAAAGUUCAUUAAACGAGAGUUCGGUGAUACUGACAACACUACGUCGAGCGGUGUACUGUUGAAAGUACCCCGUUCAAGUAUCUUUAUGGGGCAACAUGUCUUCUAUAUGGAGACAUGAAAGAUAUUAAGAGUAUAUACCUGUGGAUGCCCACGUAUGAAAUAUGACGUGUCGUAUACACGGCUAGGAGGUAUGUCUCAGAUGAAUUUGUUUAUGCAACCUGAGCUCAGUCGUGAUUACCCGCCGAACUUAAGCAUAUCAUCAGCAGAGCAGGUACAGGGAAC